UUUGACUUAUGAAAAUAAUAGCAAUGUCAAUAUUUUUUUUAUAAAAUAAAUGUUUUUUGUAUUAGCUAUCUUAGGUUUUUCUUAUGUUGAGAUUUAUUUGUAAUGUAAAGUUAGUUUUACUAUAAUGCUUGAGGUAUGAAAUUUUUUUGAUCUUUUACUAGGUGUCUGAGAGGAAGCUACCGCCUACACCUCCUAGACAGCUUACUUUAUAUGAGAAGCUAAUGGCAUCUAUAAAACAAGAGCACAAGUUUAAACCCACACCCACAGCCUCUCCUGUGCCUGAAAGGUUGAAACUUCUCGAACAAAACUAGAGGGCGCAGAUGAUACGCCACAACCACAAAGACAACUUAUUAAAACAGACAUUAGUUUAGGUUUUUCUUCAAGUUAC